rnacentral:tRNA from 1 species
GCCGAAGUGGCGAAAUCGGCAACCGUAGAAAUACGUGCCGGUUCGAGUCCGGCCUUCGGCACCA